AUAUUGAUUUGGCAGAUUAGUGCGUUAAAUUUAGAAUUUAAAUAUGUAUGUUUACAAUCAAUA
rnacentral:tRNA from 1 species